ACAUUGCUGACGAGUGCCAAAAUAGCACGAAACUUAAGUCCAAGGU
rfam:Schistosoma haematobium scaffold663_16, whole genome shotgun sequence.